UCCAGGACUGCUGAAGUUCCUGUAUGAACAACUUUGAAAAACCAUGUAAAGUUUUAGCUUUUGUCAAAUCUCAAAAUGGAACUUUAACUGAACAUACCGAUAACUCCUUCAUCUAGGCGAUAGACGGUGAUCGGCACUUCAUUAUCAAACAGAUCCAGUAUAAUCUACCUGAUGAACAUCUACGUCCAGCCCUGAACCAUCUACCUGUGUCGGCACGGAGAGAACAACGACAACCUGGAGGGACAGCUGGGCCGUAAUGCAGGCCUCUCGCCGCGGCACAGACAGUUUUUGGUGGCUAAACCCGAGUCUGCAGUCCUACCAGAACCUGGUCCAAUCAGUCCGAUGGCUCUGAAGAAUUUACUACACAUUUCUUGCCUUCAACUUACCUGAAGACAAGAAGAGUACCCCCCCAAUCCAUGUUCCUCUGAAAAACCUUUUCCCCUCACACAUUUUAAAAUAAUUUAUUCAGUGGAUGCAAUUGUUGUAAUGUUAACAAAGUGUCAUAAAUUUGCAGACUUGAAACAAUUUAGAGAUGAGAAACUAUAUAUACUUUUCCCUUUUUUUUUUUUUUUUUUUUUUUUUUUUUUUUUUUUUGGAAUUGUUGUAG